rnacentral:rRNA from 1 species
AGCGUACACGGUGGAUGCCCUGGCAGUCAGAGGCGAUGAAGGACGUGCUAAUCUGCGAUAAGCGUCGGUAAGGUGAUAUGAACCGUUAUAACCGGCGAUUUCCGAAUGGGGAAACCCAGUGUGAUUCGUCACACUAUCAUUAACUGAAUCCAUAGGUUAAUGAGGCGAACCGGGGGAACUGAAACAUCUAAGUACCCCGAGGAAAAGAAAUCAACCGAGAUUCCCCCAGUAGCGGCGAGCGAACGGGGAGCAGCCCAGAGCCUGAAUCAGUGUGUGUGUUAGUGGAAGCGUCUGGAAAGGCGCGCGAUACAGGGUGACAGCCCCGUACACAAAAAUGCACAUGCUGUGAGCUCGAUGAGUAGGGCGGGACACGUGGUAUCCUGUCUGAAUAUGGGGGGACCAUCCUCCAAGGCUAAAUACUCCUGACUGACCGAUAGUGAACCAGUACCGUGAGGGAAAGGCGAAAAGAACCCCGGCGAGGGGAGUGAAAAAGAACCUGAAACCGUGUACGUACAAGCAGUGGGAGCACGCUUAGGCGUGUGACUGCGUACCUUUUGUAUAAUGGGUCAGCGACUUAUAUUCUGUAGCAAGGUUAACCGAAUAGGGGAGCCGAAGGGAAACCGAGUCUUAACUGGGCGUUAAGUUGCAGGGUAUAGACCCGAAACCCGGUGAUCUAGCCAUGGGCAGGUUGAAGGUUGGGUAACACUAACUGGAGGACCGAACCGACUAAUGUUGAAAAAUUAGCGGAUGACUUGUGGCUGGGGGUGAAAGGCCAAUCAAACCGGGAGAUAGCUGGUUCUCCCCGAAAGCUAUUUAGGUAGCGCCUCGUGAAUUCAUCUCCGGGGGUAGAGCACUGUUUCGGCAAGGGGGUCAUCCCGACUUACCAACCCGAUGCAAACUGCGAAUACCGGAGAAUGUUAUCACGGGAGACACACGGCGGGUGCUAACGUCCGUCGUGAAGAGGGAAACAACCCAGACCGCCAGCUAAGGUCCCAAAGUCAUGGUUAAGUGGGAAACGAUGUGGGAAGGCCCAGACAGCCAGGAUGUUGGCUUAGAAGCAGCCAUCAUUUAAAGAAAGCGUAAUAGCUCACUGGUCGAGUCGGCCUGCGCGGAAGAUGUAACGGGGCUAAACCAUGCACCGAAGCUGCGGCAGCGACACUAUGUGUUGUUGGGUAGGGGAGCGUUCUGUAAGCCUGUGAAGGUGUACUGUGAGGUAUGCUGGAGGUAUCAGAAGUGCGAAUGCUGACAUAAGUAACGAUAAAGCGGGUGAAAAGCCCGCUCGCCGGAAGACCAAGGGUUCCUGUCCAACGUUAAUCGGGGCAGGGUGAGUCGACCCCUAAGGCGAGGCCGAAAGGCGUAGUCGAUGGGAAACAGGUUAAUAUUCCUGUACUUGGUGUUACUGCGAAGGGGGGACGGAGAAGGCUAUGUUGGCCGGGCGACGGUUGUCCCGGUUUAAGCGUGUAGGCUGGUUUUCCAGGCAAAUCCGGAAAAUCAAGGCUGAGGCGUGAUGACGAGGCACUACGGUGCUGAAGCAACAAAUGCCCUGCUUCCAGGAAAAGCCUCUAAGCAUCAGGUAACAUCAAAUCGUACCCCAAACCGACACAGGUGGUCAGGUAGAGAAUACCAAGGCGCUUGAGAGAACUCGGGUGAAGGAACUAGGCAAAAUGGUGCCGUAACUUCGGGAGAAGGCACGCUGAUAUGUAGGUGAAGUCCCUCGCGGAUGGAGCUGAAAUCAGUCGAAGAUACCAGCUGGCUGCAACUGUUUAUUAAAAACACAGCACUGUGCAAACACGAAAGUGGACGUAUACGGUGUGACGCCUGCCCGGUGCCGGAAGGUUAAUUGAUGGGGUCAGCGCAAGCGAAGCUCUUGAUCGAAGCCCCGGUAAACGGCGGCCGUAACUAUAACGGUCCUAAGGUAGCGAAAUUCCUUGUCGGGUAAGUUCCGACCUGCACGAAUGGCGUAAUGAUGGCCAGGCUGUCUCCACCCGAGACUCAGUGAAAUUGAACUCGCUGUGAAGAUGCAGUGUACCCGCGGCAAGACGGAAAGACCCCGUGAACCUUUACUAUAGCUUGACACUGAACAUUGAGCCUUGAUGUGUAGGAUAGGUGGGAGGCUUUGAAGUGUGGACGCCAGUCUGCAUGGAGCCGACCUUGAAAUACCACCCUUUAAUGUUUGAUGUUCUAACGUUGACCCGUGAUCCGGGUUGCGGACAGUGUCUGGUGGGUAGUUUGACUGGGGCGGUCUCCUCCUAAAGAGUAACGGAGGAGCACGAAGGUUGGCUAAUCCUGGUCGGACAUCAGGAGGUUAGUGCAAUGGCAUAAGCCAGCUUGACUGCGAGCGUGACGGCGCGAGCAGGUGCGAAAGCAGGUCAUAGUGAUCCGGUGGUUCUGAAUGGAAGGGCCAUCGCUCAACGGAUAAAAGGUACUCCGGGGAUAACAGGCUGAUACCGCCCAAGAGUUCAUAUCGACGGCGGUGUUUGGCACCUCGAUGUCGGCUCAUCACAUCCUGGGGCUGAAGUAGGUCCCAAGGGUAUGGCUGUUCGCCAUUUAAAGUGGUACGCGAGCUGGGUUUAGAACGUCGUGAGACAGUUCGGUCCCUAUCUGCCGUGGGCGCUGGAGAACUGAGGGGGGCUGCUCCUAGUACGAGAGGACCGGAGUGGACGCAUCACUGGUGUUCGGGUUGUCAUGCCAAUGGCACUGCCCGGUAGCUAAAUGCGGAAGAGAUAAGUGCUGAAAGCAUCUAAGCACGAAACUUGCCCCGAGAUGAGUUCUCCCUGACUCCUUGA